AGAAAAGGAGGCUCAGGGGUGACCUUAUCGUUCUCUACAGCUGCCUGAAAGGAAGGUGUGGAGAGUUGGGGUCAGCCUCCUCUCACAGAUAACGAGAGAUAGGACUGGAGGGAAUGGCCUCAAGUUGUGCCAGGGGAGGUUUAGGUUGGAAAUGAG